UACGGAGGGAGCUAGCGUUGUUCGGAAUUACUGGGCGUAAAGCGCGCGUAGGCGGCUUUGUAAGUUAGAGGUGAAAGCCCGGGGCUCAGCCCCGGAAUUGCCUUUAAGACUGCAUCGCUUGAAUCCGGGAGAGGUGAGUGGAAUUCCGAGUGAUAGAGGUGAAAUUCGUAGAUAUUCGGAAGAACACCAGUGGCGAAGGCGGCUCACUGGACCGGCAUUGACGCUGAGGUGCGAAGCGUGGGAGCAAACAGG
rnacentral:rRNA from 1 species